UGGGGAAUAUUGCACAAUGGAGGGAACUCUGAUGCAGCGACGCCGCGUGAGUGAUGAAGGAAUUCGUUUCGUAAAACUCUGUUCUAUGGGAAGAAAAGGACUGUACCAUAGGAGAAAGCUCCGGCUAAAUACGUGCCAGCAGCCGCGGUAAUACGUAUGGAGCGAGCGUUGUCCGGAAUUAUUGGGCGUAAAGGGUGCGCAGGCGGCUUUACAAGUUGGAUGUGAAAUAUUGUGGCUCAACCACAAACGUGCAUCCAAAACUGCAAAGCUUGAGUUAAGGAGAGGUAAGUGGAAUUCCUGGUGGAGCGGUGGAAUGCGUAGAUAUCAGGAGGAAUACCGGUGGCGAAGGCGACUUACUGGACUUAAACUGACGCUCAGGCACGAAAGCGUGGGGAGCAAACAGG
rnacentral:rRNA from 1 species